GAUGAACGCUGGCGGCGUGCCUAAUACAUGCAAGUCGAGCGAACAGACGAGGAGCUUGCUCCUCUGACGUUAGCGGCGGACGGGUGAGUAACACGUGGAUAACCUACCUAUAAGACUGGGAUAACUUCGGGAAACCGGAGCUAAUACCGGAUAAUAUAUUGAACCGCAUGGUUCAAUAGUGAAAAACGGUUUUGCUGUCACUUAUAGAUGGAUCCGCGCCGCAUUAGCUAGUUGGUAAGGUAACGGCUUACCAAGGCAACGAUGCGUAGCCGACCUGGGAGGGUGAUCGGCCACACUGGAACUGAGACACGGUCCAGACUCCUACGGGAGGCAGCAGUAGGGAAUCUUCCGCAAUGGGCGAAAGCCUGACGGAGCAACGCCGCGUGAGUGAUGAAGGUCUUCGGAUCGUAAAACUCUGUUAUUAGGGAAGAACAAAUGUGUAAGUAACUAUGCACGUCUUGACGGUACCUAAUCAGAAAGCCACGGCUAACUACGUG
rnacentral:rRNA from 1 species